rnacentral:rRNA from 1 species
UUGACCUCGGAUCGGGCAGGGAUA